rnacentral:rRNA from 1 species
UACGUAGGGUGCGAGCGUUAAUCGGAAUUAUUGGGCGUAAAGAGCUCGUAGGCGGUUUGUCGCGUCUGCUGUGAAAACUCGGGGCUCAACUCCGAGCUUGCAGUGGGUACGGGCAGACUAGAGUGCGGUAGGGGAGACUGGAAUUCCCGGGUGUAGUGGUGGAAUGCGUAGUAGAUCGGGAGGAACACCGGUGGCGAAGGCGGCCUCCCUGGGCCGGUCCUGACGCUGAGGCGCGAAAGCGUGGGGAGCGAUCCGG